ACAUCCAAGCUAAGCUCAAAGGUGACAGGGGAACAAAGAUGGGUAACUUUUAGAGCCAGGCACGAGGAUCUACAAAGUGUGGGACCAAAGGGGUGGGUAGGUGUAUUGGUCAGGGUUUUCUAGAAGAACGGAACUGAUAGAAUGAUCUAUGUACAUACAGAGGGGCUCAUUAGAAUGACUUACAGGCUGUGCUCCAGCUAGUUCAACCGUGGUUGUCUUUCAACAGAAAGUCCAAGAAUCCACUAACCGUUCACAGUUCACAAGUCUCCGUUGGUCUUCGGUGAAUGUUGCCAUCCCAAAGAAGUAGGUUCUAAUGCCAGUGAAGGAGUCAGCUUGCCAGAGAGAGAGGCAAGCAUGGAAAGUGCAAGUGGUUUCUUCUCCCAUGUCCUAUAUAUGGGCUGCCAUGAGAAGGUGUGGCCCAGAUUUAGGGUCUUCCUGCCUCCAAUGAUCCAAUGGGGAAAAAUCCCUCACAGGAGUGCACAGCUGUGUGGGCUUUUAGUUAGUUCAAGAUGUAGUCAAGGUGACAACGGAGGUUAGCAAUCACAAGUCCUCCCCUUGUCACCUGGACACCCACUCACAUCUCCUUAUGUCAUGCUUUAUUCCCAAAUGAAAACAGUAACCAAGCCAUAAUUACACCAAAUGUGAUUCAACUGUCCCAUGUACAACCUAAAACCCUAUGCAUUUUAGAACAGGUGGCAAUGUGGAUUGAGGAACAUAGUGUCUCAUAACUUAACUAUGAUAACCACUGACACGUUGCAUGAUGAAGAAAUCGAGGAAAGAAAACAAACAUCUGGACAAACGCAUUCCUAACAGAACAGGACAGAAACACUCAGAUCAAUUUAACCCUCAUUUCUGCAGCUGGUCAUCUGGCCUUAGCUGGUAUUUAAAAAUACCCAUACUGUAUUUCCUUAUCUUCAGCAAGCACCUGGGCAGGUCUUGGUUCUAUCCCCAGAGGAGCAAUCCAUUUCUUCAUUCCUGAAGGGCCUGUGCCUUUUGUCAUUCUGACUGUAGUGGGCUGUUGUGCUUUUCCGUUGACUUUAAUCACAGGCCCUGAUAACUUGGAGAGAUACCCCAAAUCAUCUCCUGCACUCCCCAUGUAAUUUUUCUUAUCUCCAUUCAGGAGAAUCAAUCAGAUUUUUUUUCUAGAAGUCUGGAUCAAUCACUCCCUCCUAUCACUGCUAUUCCUGUCUUAGCCUGUUGGCUUAAGGACAUCAGAAGCCCAAAGUGGCCAGGGGGGUAGUCAGAGCUUCCAGUUCAGUGAAAUGUUUGUUGUAUCCCCAGGCAGGAGCUCUGGAACCAAAAUUUAGCAGAAGUUAAGAGCUCUGGAGCAGGAAGCAAAAAUUUUCUUGGUUGGCCACUAGGGAUGAGAGUAAGUGUAGGCAUUCCUCUUUCCACCUUUGAUUAAGUCAACUGUCAUUCUCCAUGACCCCCUUCUUCUGCACAGGUCACAUAGGAAAGUUAGAGAGAGAUGCAGUGUAAACCACCACCCCUACAGCUUUUAAGUCCUUGAUGGUGGCACUAAUUUCUGUAGUUCCUCCAGGAGCGCAACACUUUUUUUUUUUUUUAAAGAUUUAUUUAUUUAUUUAUUAUAUGUAAGUACACUGCAGCUGUCCUCAGACGCACCAGAAGAGGCAUCAGAUCUCAUCACGGGUGGUUGUGAGCCACCAUGUGGUUGCUGGGAUUUGAACUUCGGACCUUCGGAAGAGCAGUCGGGUGCUCUUACCCACUGAGCCAUCUCACCAGCCCAAGCGCAACACUCUUUUUGGUUCACAUUUUCCCUGGUAAAGGUAACUCCCAAGGCUUCCGUUUAGCCUCUCUAUAAUAGCCCCAUUCCACAGGUCAGAAAACCAGUGUGGGAAUUCCUAAUCUCUAAUUAUAUCUAGUCCAAUUAUACCUUCUGGAAUCGGGGAAAUAAUCACAGGACGAGUUCAGAGAUGUGCUCAACUUACUAUGAAGCGGACUUCAGUCAAAACUCCAUCAAUCACCCGACCUCCAUAAGCUCCGGCUUUCACUGAAGGGCCAUGACGUUUCUUGGAGUCUCGUGGAAUUGGAGUUAGUUCAGAACCAGUAUCCAAUAGGCCAGGAAAGUUUCUUUUUCCGCCUUUUACAGGUUACCCAAGUAAGAGGCCAGAGGGUCUGUACGACUGGGGAAAGGCUAACAGGAAAACGUUUGGGUAUUUUAUCCCUCCUCAGGGGGAGCUGGCUGUCUGUUCAUUCAAGGGGUUCUGAGUCUGAAAACUGGUUCAAGUCUGGAAAUCAAUUUAUGGGCCAAGAUUCCCCUUUGCCACGAUCCAAUGUAGCCGUUCUUUUAUUUGUUUGAGAUUUUUUUUCCCACUUAUGCAGAUCAAGCAAAAAUACAGUAAGCUCCUUAUCUGUUUCAUGCCCGGAAACACCGUGACUGAUCAGCCAGUACCAAAGGUCCAUACAGGUCAUGCUACUAUAUUAGUCCUUUUACCUGGAAACCAUUACGGGUCAGGCCACUGUGGAUGCCACUUUGUCUGUGCUGCCCAUUCUGACAACUGUGAUCAUCUUGCCUUUGGCAAUUCAGUGCAGCCACCUGGCCUCUGGUACUCUGAAGCUAAAAUAAACCCAUCACAUCUAAUUCAUCCAACAGCAUCUCCGACCCUAAGGUCUGACACAAGGAAAAGGGCAACCACACAGCUCUUCAAAUGUGCGGGUGCCCCUCUCAUCAUUUUGAGUCUUAGAGGAUUAGUGGAGGGCAUGUCUCCUGGGCCUGUCCGUGGUGGAGGAUUAGGCUUUACAAAGAGUACUCAGUCUAGCAUUGUGGUUUCCCUGAGCCUUAAAAUCCUUUCAUCAAUGUUGUGGGGUAUUCACCAGAGAAGGCAGCUAGGACACGGGUUAAGCCAAUAGAAAGUCUGUAUUAGCCAGCCAACAACUAGACUAGGUUUUUGGGAUCCCGGUGUAGCCCUGAGCCCUUUUUCAGGGUGAGUUUUAAAUCCAAGGAAACAGUGUUCUGGUUUGAUAUAACUGUUAACAAGAAGACUUAGCCUGAAGCAGAGCUACAGAAGCCAAAAAGCAAGGUUAGCACAUCUAGGGAGUUUUCCAGAAGUGUGGACUUUGAUGGACAGGACCUUUGUUCUGGUUUGGGCGGGUGGUGCUGCCUACAUGCUGAGUUUUGUGGCCUGAAUGGUACUUUCGUCACAGCGUCGGUUGUACUAAGGUCUCAGAGUCCACUAAGUCUGGGAUCCUUUAUGAGUCUAAGCCAAAGGAUCUAAGUCAUUUCUAGCUUCUUUUCAGUAGGCCAUCCAUUUGACAAAUACUUCAGGCAACUGAUCGAACCUUUAACGCCAUGUUUAACUGAUCAAGCUUCCUAAACCUAGACUCAGUGGUCCAGAUCAAUAAACUCAGCCUGAUCCAGUUGUAAUGUAAUCCCAAAUGCUUAACAUCCUCUCCCACACACAUUCCCCACAUUUCUGCUUGAGUCAAUGAGUCAUUAAGCUCUUUAGUGGUGCAGCGCACUUCCCCAUGGGCUACACUUUCUUUCUACCUCCCCUCUAGGAGCCUGCUUUGCAUUAAGUCUGGUUUACAGGUCUCGAGGCAACUAUCAGAGGGCCCUUAGGGACAUCGGUACUACCUCGUCUGGUAUCUUCUUCAGGGAUAGCAGACAAUGAAGGAUUGAUUUCCUCAGGAGAUGGAGGUUGGGGUACAUUCUUUGCUAAGGGUGGAAAGGCUACCCAGCAAAGAGAUGCCUCCGCAGCAGGUAUAUGAACUUGCCAGUGAGUGAGGGCAAGCUGGCAAAAAGCAAAAGCUUUUUUUUUUUUCUCUCUCUCUCUUUUUCUGUGUCUUUUAUAUGGACUGCCAUGAGAAGGCAUGACCCAGAUUUAGGAUGGGUCUCCCACUCUCACAUGAUCCAAUCCAGAGCAACCCCUCACAGGUGUGGCAAACUGCUUGGGUUGUCAGGUAAUCCCAGGUGUAGACAGGUUGGCAACCAGGAAUGGCCAUGGUAAGGGGAAAGGAUGGAGCAACCAUGGCCAGUGAGCAAGGACUGGGCUCAGCAUAUUUAUGUCCAUUAAGAGACAGUGUUCAGGGCUGGAAAGAUGGCUUAGCGGUUAAGAGCACUGAUUACUCUUCCAGAGGUCCUGAGUUCAAAUCCCAGUAACUACAUGGUGACUCACAACCAUCUGUAAUGGGAUCUGAUGCCCUCUUCUGGUGUGUCUGAAGAGAACAAUGGUGUACUCAUAUACAUAAAAUAAACACAUAUUUAAAAAAAGAGAGGCAGUGUUCAGCUGGGUAUGUGGGUAUGGUAGAGCAUGGGGGUAUGGUAGAGCAUGCCUGUAUUCCUGGCACUUGGAAUCCGGAGAUAGGAAGAGCAGGAGUUCAAGGUCAUCCUCUGCUACAUAGCAAAUUCAGGGUCAAGGCCAGUCUGGGGUGCCUGCAAUACAAGACCUAUGUCCUCACCAGAAGGGUUCCAGCUUUUUAACGGCAUAAUGGCUAAUAAGUCACCCUCCAAGCUGAGCCUGUGUUUUCUUGAUGGUGUCAGAGCUAACCGGAUGGGCCGGUUAUGCUGACUCAUAAAAACCCUCCAGCCUUCCAAAUUAAAACCACAAAUGUUUAUUUGUUCUACUCCUGCAUGUUGAUUAGUUGGACUCUCUUCCACAGCCAGAAGUUCCAUGUCCCUUGGGCUCUGGGACCCAGGUACUUCCUGGAAUACUGUAGAGGCUGAGCCAGUGGUGACGUGCACGACGUCAGUAAGUCCCAGAACCCUAACUAGGGACGAUGAAGACAUGACAAAAACAUGUGAUUGAGAAGCCACAGCACCCCCAGAAACUCAAAGCCCCAGCACCUCUCAAAACUCAAUAUGUUUAGUGGAUACACAGCUGACCGGGAAGGUGGGGUUGUUGCACACAGAUAAAUGAAAAGCAGGGUUGGUGCAUACAGCUGAACAAGAAGGUGUGUGUGAUUAGCUAAUCUCAGUAGGAGCAGACUCAGCAGGGAGCAGCCCUUAGGCCAUAACCAGGGCAGUUGGUGGAGAGAAAGCUUCAGCGAGCAUAUUCUGCACUCUGUCGGCUCGCUUGGACUCAAGGAAGGCUGGGUCUCACCCGGGAUGGCUUGGCCACUCCCACAGGGCUCAGACAUGGGUCCUUGACACAAGGCUUUCCGAGCAGUGCUCAGCCACUUAGCCUCCACUCGCUCCCUACUGUGCAGAGCACUCUGGGGAGUGUCUGUCUGUCUACUCAGCUAUCUCAAACUCUGCCAAGUCUACACACUGCUUUCCAUCUCACUUACCAGAGCUGCCCCGCCAGCCCAAGAGGAGUGCCAGGUCAUGUGCCCAAGAGGCAGCAAGUCAGGGACAUUAAUAACAACCCCAGUCUCCAAGGACUUGAGAACUUAAAAGACAAAAGAAAGAAAAAAAUAAGAAAGCCCUCCCUUCCUGUCCAAGCAUCAAGCAUCUAGCUAGUCUGGUUUGAAUUACUUGUGAUUCAAUAAGUUUUGCUUUACCAAGUUCAAAACAAUAGAGAGGAGAACUAUCACCUUGAACAGAAAGUACUAGCUUAGGGCAAAUGGUGCAAAUUGCAGAUUCUUCUUUUUUUUUUUUUUUUUUGAGACUUUAUGUAUUUUUGUUUUAUGUGUAUUUGUGCUCUAUGUGCCUGCAGUACUAGAGGAGGCCAGAGGUAGCAUUAGAGUCCCUGGGAAUCUGGGCCUAGAAUUAGGGACAGUGAUGGAUGAAUGGUCAUGCGGGUGCUGGGAAUUGAACCUGGGCACUCUAGAAGAGCAGCCAGCGCUCUCUCUUAACCACUGAGCCAUCUCUCCAGCUCCAAGUUACGGAUUAUUGUUAUCUGUUUAAUAAUACUGUAAUAUCUUUUUUCUCCGUUCUUCCUUCCCUCUGCUUCCUCUCUUCUUUCUCUUCCUCUUCUUUUUUGAGACAGGUCUCCCUCUAGGUCUGGCUGGUUUUGAACUCUCAGCAAUCCUCCUGCCUCUGCCUCUCGAGAGUUGGGAUCCGACACUACAGUAUUUCUUUACUUCCCUGAAGACCAGGAAGACUAUAUUUAUUUAUGGUCACCUGGUAAUUCUAUAGUCUUGUCUGAAUACCCAAUAACAAAAUCCUGUAUUCCUAGACCCUUGGGAGGCUGAGAGGAUACUGUGCCCACCAGUUUGAGGUCAGCCUGGGCUACAUAUGAUGCCCUGCAUCCCCUUACCCCUCCCCUAAUUAGGAUGGUGGCAAUCCCAGCACUUGGGAGGAAGAAGCAGGAAGAUUAUGAGUUCGUGGCCACCCUUGGCGACAAGUUAGCUUCAAGGCUAGUCCACCCUAUGUGAGACCUUAUUUCGUCUUUGAAGAUUCCAUUUGCUGUUUAUUUAUGUGUGUUAUAUGUAUUUUUGUGUGUGAGCAUGUGUACAUGACAUGGUGCCUUUGGAAGCUGGAGGAGGGCGUCAGAACCCUGAGAACUGUUGUUACGAGCUAUUCUGAGCUGCCUGCCAUGGGUGCAGAGAGCUGAACUCAGGUCCUCCAGAAGAGCAGCAGGUGUUUUUAACCACUGAGCCAUUUCUUCAGCCGCCCCCACCCCCCCAAGAUCAAGUUUCAAAAGUGUGUGAGUGCAAUUUCAAACCAUGUGGAAAUAUGGAUCAUAGGUUCUAGUUACUAGCUAGGAACCCACCAGCCAUAAUUACUUGCCUUAAAUGUUUGGUAAGGGUUAUCUUAAGAUUUCUGAGAUAAGUUCUCAUUCCUGUUUUUUUUUUUUUUUUUUUUUGGAGGGGGGAGGGUUGAGAUAGAGUUUCUUUGUAUAGCCGUGGCUGUCCUGAAACUCACUUUGUAGACCAGGCUGGCCUUGAACUCAGAAAUCCACCUGCCUCUGCCUCCCAAGUGCUGAGAUUAAAGGCAUGUGCCACCACUGCUCGGCUUCUCAUUCCUGUUUUAUAUAGGAGAAAAACAAGGGACUGGCUCAAAGUUGCACAGCCAGAAAACCCCGUUAUAUUGUAUCCAUUUUGAGGACAAGGUGCUCAUUUUGAGCAGUACUGCUCUGCCCUCUAGGGGCAGCAGGGUGACCUGGAGGUUAAGGAAGGGCAUCUGCUCUGGAAUUCACCUGGCAGCAGAGGCACUGACUGCAAUGGGUUGAGAUUACAGAGGUCCCUCGGGAAUCCUAGCCGCUGAACUUGGCUCUGAUUCAGGAUCUGAACUCUGGAGAAAGGCUCGGUCCCGUGCCAGCUCUUUGGGAGAUGGGAACGAGACUGGAACAAGUCACAGGUCUUCAGAUCCGGGGAUGAGCCAGGUGCUCUACCACUGAGCUGUGCCCCCGAGCCUGAGUUCACAUAUCCUUGGCAAACUUUACUGUUAUGGUAAAGCUCACUGCCGGAAGAGCUUGGCACACAGCCUGCCACGUGGAAAUUAUGAAGAAGGAGUGUCUAUUAUCAGCACAGUUGCAUGGAGUUUCAGAAUAACUGCCAUUUCAGACUUGGAAUUGGGGAUGGGAAUUGCCUUCGCUAAGUCAAACUGGCUGAACUGAAAGAGAAAACUGUGAGGGCGUGGAGCUUUGAGGUCCCUGGGGAGCCUUGAACCGGGAUCCAGUUUUCUCGACUCCCUUCCUCUUCCUGAACCUGUUCAAGAUGUCACCACACCUGCAACCAUUCCAGCCAGGGAAAAGCCUGGGGCAACAAACUGGGGAAUUAGGUCAGGAGGAUGCAGGUCUGCCUGAAGAACUCUCCUCAAAGAGGGAGAUCUGACUGCAGCUAUCAUGGACUUCGGGUCUCUGCUCCUGAUGAAAAUGGGCAGGAAACGAUGGAGCGAGGGAGGCCCCAGAAGAAAGGGAAGUGAGAUCAUGGUCUGCCUUUCCUUGACGUGUUUUUGAUAGACACAGGGGCUCCAAAAUAAUGUCCUUACUAAGAGGGUGGUGACAAUAAAUGGCACCUGAUGGAUCCCAGUGAGCCCAGAGAGCAGGAGAUGGCUGGGCUGCAUAGGACAGCUGGUGCACAGGCUGUAACCCCCAUGCCCAACCCCCACCUGUCACCUGGAAAGAGCACAGGCCUGUGGGGUCCCCUGAGUCACUGAGAGAAUUUAGGAAAUGAGUGUACCUGGCCGACUUCCUGAUUUUUAAAUGCUGUCUCUAAUUUUAUUUUCAACGAUUUACUUAUUUUUAUUUCACAAGUAUGAGUGGGUGUCUGCCCGUGUGAUGGUGCCUGGAGUGUCAGGGGAGGGGGAGAGUAUCAGAUCUCCUGUGAGUCGCUUGAUGUGGGUGCUGGAAGCCAAACCUGUGUCUUCUACAAGAGCAGAAGGUGCUCUUAACUCUUUCCAGCCAUCUCUCCAGCCCCUCGCUGCCUCCAAUGUUUUUUUUUUUAAUUUAUUUAUUUUAUGUAUGUGAGUACACUGUAGCUGUACAGAUGGUUGUGAGCCUUUAUGUGGUGUAGGACCUCUGCUCCCUCUGGUCAACCCCAUUCGCUCCGGUCAGCCCUGCUCGCUCCGGUCAACUCUGCUCGCUCAACCCUUGAUUGCUCUGGCCCAAAGAUUUAUUUAUUAUUAUACAUAAGUACAUGUAGCUGACUUCAGACACACCAGAAGGGGGCAUCAGAUCUCAUUACAGGUGGUUGGGAGCCUCCAUGUGGUUGUUGGGAUUUGAACUCAGAACCUUCGGAAGAACAGUCAGUGCUCUUAACUGCUGAGCCAUCUUGCCAUGCUGCCUCCAAUUUUAAAACUACAAUGUAGACACUGAGUCUAAGAUGUUAUUGAUAGAAAGAUGUUCUGACAUUUAAUAACUGUAGAAUAUGUGCCAUUUUGCAUUUUACUAAUAAAAUCUAGCUACUCAAGCGGUUGAAGGCAGGAGGACUAUAAGAUCUGCUUAGGCCAGUCUGAGCAACUCAGACAAUGUGUCAAAACAAAACAUGAAGAAGAGAGCAGAGGGUGCAGAGGUCAGGAGUACAGCGCUUUGCCUUGCACGCCUGAGUCCUGGGGUUUUAGCCCUAUUCAGAAGGAAAACCACAUAAACUAACAAACAAACAAAAACCCAGCAGAAUCACGGAUAGCAAAGUAAAUCCCAACUCUAACACAUCACAGUGAGGGGGAAAAAAAUGUCCGUUUUAGAAUUCAUGAAAGAUUGUAUACCAUAGGCUGGACCUGACCUGAGAUAACCCUGUGCUGUUUUCAACCUGCACAACUGUACGCUGGGACUCUAAUGUUGUAUAUUGAAAAGCGGAAGGGCCGCUGAACGGCUCACACUUGGGUCCUAUCUAGGAGCUUCCUGGUUUCUUGAGAAGAGCUAGUUAGUCCCUCUUCGUCUUUAUACGAGUCAGGAAUGAGUAGAGACAGUGUAGAGGAACAUGUGGACAUCAUAUAUAAGUGACAGUAACAUCAGGGUGGUGGCUCCUGGACACUGAGUAGGACCCACAGGGAUCCUGAGUCUUGGCAGACCAAGAGAUCAGUCACACCCACGUGCAUAGAGGCCCAGGGAGGUGAAAGGUACCGGGUCACCAUUACACACACAGAGGCAACACUGGGCCAGGCCAGGGUCCAGUUCUCCUCAUUCCCAUCUGCCUUCUGGGAAAAUCCCUACCCCUGGUGCAAAUGAGUUAGAGACCCAGGUCUUAGAACUUGUCCCCUCUCCUCUCCCAUUCCCCAUGCUCCCACCCCACCUCCACCCCGGCCGAGGCCUACCCCAGAGAAAAGUUCCCUGAUUUAAUUCACAAGACUUUAAAAUUUUAUUAGUAAAAUACAAAAUGGCACAGACAUUGGUAAUGAUGCUUGAAAAAAAACCCUAAAGGAUCAACAACUUUCAAAGUCCUCCUCAGAUUGUUACGGCCCACAUUCUGCUCUGGGAGGGAGGAACCAACAAAGUCCGAUGACGGGUGUCCCAACCCUUAAAGGUUCCCCACCGAAGGAGCCAGGAUAUAGUGCACUCGGGCUGCUGCGGCUCAGGCCUACAACUGGUUCUGUGGAGCAUGAUCAGAGCCGCCCACAGGCUUCCCAGGAGGAGGGUCGACAAAGGGUUGGCUUCCUCACUCUCAGGAGCCAACUGAGCUUCCACCAAUCAAGGAGUGAGUCACUGGCUUCUGGGUGAAGCUCGCCCCUGGGAGGCUCCUAAGGUGAAGUUGGAGCUAUUCAGAGCAGGGUGGGUAGAAAUGCCCCCCCCCCCCGAGGGGCGUGGCCUGCCGGCUCAGCUCCGCUGGGGUGCUGCUCAGCUGCUCCUUGCUUCAGCAGUCACUUUGCGCCCAGGGCAGAGUCCCUUCCAGAAAAUGUCACAGGGCUCUUGGAGAAUGCUAUGGGAGUUCUGGCCCUGCCUGCAAUGGGGGCAAAGGUGAGUCCUUGGCGUGAACACUGCUCUCAGAGACAGGAAAGGACCCUGGCAGCCUCUGUCUGACUAUGCAAGUACACACAUGCACAAGUCCCUACACUGAAAUUGGGUUUGUGGCCACUCCAGGGGUUUACCCUGGAUCCUCUGCCUCCGAGGGGCUUGUCCUAAUCUUUCCUAUGUGGCUUGUCCUUUAGCCAGGGCAGACCUGUGACUGUCACCUUGGUGCAUGGGGGAGGGGUUUCUAGUGAGAACACAGGGGAAGCCAUCUGAGUUGGCCUCUGUUCCUGCAAGUCCCCAACUCAGCCUCCAUUUGGGGGGGGGGCAUACAGGGUACGAUCUGCACUCUCAAGCCACUCCUUGCCAGCCCUCAGAAUCACAGGGUACAAAAAUGUCAGUCCAGUGGAAUGGCAGUGACUAUUAAUGUUGAUAAGGGGUGGGGUUGCACCCAGGGGUGGAGACAAGGAUCUCAGAGAAAGUGAUGAUGUCAGGGCCAUAGGUUAUUGCCAGCUCUGGACCACGUUUCUUUCCUUUUACAGGUGGGGCACUUUGUGGUGCUGGUAGCCGAGUGGGGACUGGACCCUUCCUUCAGACGCAGCAUGCCUUCACAGCACAUCCAAGUCUGGGGAGGAACACUUUAAACCCUCUCGCAAGCUUGUCUCCCUUCCCGGAGAGCUCCAGAAAACACAGCUUUAACCUCAUGCAAGAAAAGACACAACAGCGGUGUUGAUGGUGAUGGUGGUGCGCUCUGUACAGGGGAUAGAGGGAGACAUAGGGCAGAUAGCACCGCAGCUGGCCGGGGAGGAGAAGGGCUGGCGACUGCAGCAAAGCCAGGAGACACAAGGAGGUCAGGGGGACAGGCAGAUAGGCCUGGCCUGCUGCUUGUGAUAUGGGCGGACCACGGUGCGCGCGGGAAACAGGUGUCGUCGCAGGGGCUGGGAAUCCAAUAAAUAAUUGUUCACUGGA